rnacentral:lncRNA from 1 species
UUUGGUCCUGUGUGAGCGUUGUCCAUAAAUUAUCAUUCUUGUCUUGUACUUAAUAGCUCAUGGAGAGUAUGGUCCCACGGGAGGGAUUGAUUGUACUCUAAUAUUAUGACAGUAUGUUGUCAUAUUAUUUUAUUUCGAUUUUCUUCAUUUGGUGUGUUUGAUCACAUGUUCGGGUUUUGUUUUAUCCGGGGCGUGACAAUAAGGGUGUAGGAAAAAAAUGGAUAACUUUCAAAUUUAUCUAAGCAUGUGUGAAGAGAAACUAGGGCUACAAGGAAAUAUAUUGGGUCCAAACAAUAUGUGUUAUUACUUAUUUCCCUUUAAAUAUUUUUUUUUGGGUUUUUUAUAUAUUUUUGUGAUGAAUACUCUUAAUAGCAUCUCUAACCCAAGUUCUAAAAUGGAGACUUAGAUGGAUUGUUUUUGAAAAUUCCUUUCAAUUAAUUUAGACUUUAGUGCAUUUAUUGUUUGUUUGUUUUUUCCUUUUUGAUUCUUUCAUGAGAGACGAAUUGAAAAAAUGAAAAAUUGACAAAGAAUGAAAAAAUGCACCAAACACAUGAAUAAACUUGUGGUGCAAUUUACACAAAAUGAAAAUUUUAAUUUAUUUUUCCAAAAGAGUAAUUGUAUCAUUUGCAUUUUCCACUCCCCUCUCUUUUCCUCCAUUAGAUCGUUAAUCCAAACGCAGUCUUAACAACUAGCCAAGAAUAGAAAACCCUAAGGUCAUAGACAUCCCAAAGAUGGGUGGGCUCUUAAAUCCUACCAAGUUUGAGUGCCUUGAGCACCCAGAGCCCUCAAAUUUGAGUACGAGGCUGCUUCAUGUUAGACCUAAAGGGGCUAGGCAUUCUGACUUGAUCACCCUAAUGCCCUCAUAUCUGAGGGCCAACACACUCACACUCUUCUCCACUAUUGACCACACCUACCACAUGUCGCCUUCUUAGUCACCACAACCCUUUUUCGGCCACCCCGAAUUGGUUCCCUCCCCACCCCAUAAUAAUCCUCCCCUCUUGUGUGGUUAGGGUUUUAAAGUUUUAAAUCUAAGGGUUAGGCUUUUAGUUGAGAGAGAGAAAGAGAAAGUGAGGUUGGAUUAAGUACAAGAUGGCAGUUAAAAUCAUGUUUAGAGUGAGAAAAGAGGCGUUGGGGUGGGGAUGGGAGGUGGUUGGGGUUGCAAUUGGGAUUGGGGACAAAUAUGAGGUGGUCGGCCAACCAUGUGAUGACCCGGCCCUCCGGGGCCGUUAAUUAAUCCAUUCCAUUCCAGCCGUAUUUUUCUCAAAUACAAUUCAGAGCACUAUUUUCCUCAAAUAUUCAAUAGUCUCCAAAUAUUUAUUUUUACAAUUCAAACCACCUAGUGUAGAGUGGUUGGGGUAGCAGUCCAAGGCGGGGGUGAGACAGGCGAAGGCAAAAUAAGGGUGGACAGUUGCUGGCGGUAGGGAGGAAGGAUAGGGGAAGGGUGGGAAGGUUUGAGAAUGGAAGGGUAGGCAUGGUAGUAAUGGCGGUGUUGGCGACUGAGGGUGAUAUUGGGUGUCUAAACAAAAUUAUGAAUUUGAAAAUGUUAGGUUUUUUUAUAUGUCCAAUGGUAAUUUUACUAAGGGGUAACAUACUAAUAACAAAGACAUGCUAUGUUUUUAAAAUAUUUAAUUUUUUAAAAUAAAUCUUAAAAAAAAUAUCUUAAAAUAUCAAAAAAUUAAAAAUAGACAAAUAAAAUAGGACCGACGAGUAAGUAUUCUUUCCUUUGUCCGCAAGGAUAAAGACAUCUUUUAAGGUGAAAAUUGUAAUAUAAGGUCAUUGUCAGCCAAUCAAUUUUAACGGAGUGUAGCAAUACAUCGCUAUAAAACGGAAUCGAAUCCUCUGAAGUGUGGAUUUGGUGGUGUUAUUGGAGUGUAUAAAACAAUAUUGUGUUGUAUAUUUUAGAAUAAAAAGAACAUCGUUUUGUACACUUCAGAACAAAAACGUCGUCGUUUUGAUCAUUACCAUGAAACGACGUUGUUUUAUAGUUAAUUAAAACGAUAUUAUUUUUGUACUGAAGUAUACACUUAGGGACACUCCAACAAAUCCACACUUCUCCGAACUCCAAUAAAACAUGCAUGAUGAUGCAAGCAAAUGCGUAAGUUUCCUUAUCCUCUAAAUAAAUGGCUAGCUACUUCAUCAUCUUUUUCUUUUUCCUUUUCUUUUAAAUGUGUUGGUAUUUCAAUUAAACACAUAAAUCGAUUACUAUAAUAAGAAUAAUAGUAAGAAUUGCAAGUUAAUUAUAAAGACCCUAGUUUAGAAAAGGUUUUGUUUUUUGGGUAAUUAAACGUGAAAAAAAUCACGUUUAGAAAGUUCAUGUUGAACUUUACAAUAAAGUUGGCAAUAAAGCCAAGCCGAAGCAUGCAUUAAUUAUUUGAAUAGUUCAUCUGCUAAUACGUGUUGAAGAUAUCAGUCAUGUAAAAAGUUAGAUUAAUCGGACAUCAGGAUUCGAAAAACUAUAAAUCUAAAAAAUUCGAUUUGGACUCCAGGUAUGAUUUCAUAA